GGAAAAAUCGCCUAAUGGUAUGGCAAUAGUUUGCUAAACUGUGGAUAUUAUAUAUCUUUAAGGGUUCGAUUCCCUUUUUUUCCG